rnacentral:rRNA from 1 species
UACCAGCACCCCGAGUGGUCGGGACGUUUAUUGGGCCUAAAGCAUCCGUAGCCGGUUCUACAAGUCUUCCGUUAAAUCCACCUGCUUAACAGAUGGGCUGCGGAAGAUACUAUAGAGCUAGGAGGCGGGAGAGGCAAGCGGUACUCGAUGGGUAGGGGUAAGAUCCGUUGAUCCAUUGAAGACCACCAGUGGCGAAGGCGGCUUGCCAGAACGCGCUCGACGGUGAGGGAUGAAAGCUGGGGGAGCAAACCGG